rnacentral:rRNA from 1 species
UACGUAGGUGACGAGCGUUAUCCGGAUUUACUGGGCGUAAAGCGCUUGUAGGUGGCUUUGUAAGUUGGGCGUGAAAACUCUGGGCUUAACCCAGAGACGCCGUCCAAUACUGCGAGGCUCGAGGAUGUCAGAGGAAGGUGGAAUUCCUGGUGUAGUGGUGAAAUGCGUAGAUAUCAGGAAGAACACCCGUGGCGAAAGCGGCUCUCUGGAACGGUACUGACGCUGAGACGCGAAAGCGUGGGGAGCGAACAGG